AUGAAGUUCUACCCAGACAGUUACGCUAAGUGCGACCAUUAUACUGGUCAGUUACACGAUGAGGUCCUAAGGAGAAUACGCUUCGAAGUUCCGUUAACCAAGGAACAGCAAGUUCUGGAAGUGGGAUGCGGUACGGGGCGCUCCGCCCGGCGAUUUCUGCUGCCUCACUGCCAACCCUGUAGGAGGAUAGUGGCCACAGACCUCCAGCCCGACAUGAUCGAAUUCGCGCGCGAACACUUUUCGCACGAGAACAUUGUCCACGACGUCCUGGAUAUCACCACUCCCGACUUGGCUCCGUUCCUGGAAACAUACGGAAAGUUCGACAGGGUCUUCUCCUUCUUGGUCUUCCACAUGAUUCAGGACCCAAGGGCAGCCUACGCGAACAUCGCCAAGUUGCUGAACGACGGAGGCGAAUGCCUGGUGCUCGCUUUCUCCAGCCUCGAUUUUGCAGACGUGUGGGCAGAGGUGUGCGGGGUGCCGAAAUGGAAAGGACGGAUACCGGACCCGCGAGAUGUUGCCAACGCUUCUUUCAACUUCAAUUGCGUCAAGUCAGCAGCCAAGAUUGAAGCCGAAGUCAGAGACACCUUACGUGGAACCGGGUUGCAAUGUAUCUCCUGCGAAGUUCGUGAUUCCUCUUGGAAGUUUGACAGCAUGGAUCAUUUUCUCGACCUGUUCUUGAAUAUUGCUCCCUUCAAGGCGACCAUCCCCGAAGAAGAGUGGGCAGAAUUCAGCAAUUUGUGGGCAGAACUGAUGCACCGGAAGUCGUCCACGUCACCGGGAGAGCCAAUCGUAAUGAAAUUUGGGUUCUAUGUCGUUCACGGCCGUCGGUUUUCUGGGUGAAAAAAGUUUCCUAAACCCGUGAUAGUAAUUGAGGCGAAACGCGUGUCCAACAAGCUGUCUUUAGGAGUCGCCCUUUUUGCUUGCGAAGUUCUGCAUGUAUUUUAUGAUCGACGUGCCCUCGCGUUCUCAUGAGGGAGUGAGUCAGCGAGGGAGGGAGCAAACGAAGUUUAUAAUUAAUUGAGUACAGCUUACUAACUCUUGUUCACACCACUUCUUUAGUUCCCCAGGUUUCAUUACCACGUAGUGACUGUGUAGUGAUUAGAUUGUAAAUCGCAAGAAAACCAUAGUUAGGUACCAUCUGCUCGACGUUUUUAGCAAGGUCGAUCCAAAUAGGUCGCGAAUCUUCGGGCAAAAUCGGUUCAGAACGAAUUGUCACCGACAUCAGCAAGGGUUGUUAUGGGAGCAGUGAUUGAAGCACGACUAUGUUUGGAGGGAACAAAUAUUUGGAGAGAAAAAAGCGUUUUUUUUUUAAUUAAAGCGAGGCACAGUUAGAUUCAUUCAAUGAAAAUAAAAUUCCUAAUCAAUUUUAUAUACGCAUGGCGAGAAAAGAACAACUCUAUUCUACUUGAUCAUUAUCAAUAAAUACCUUUUUUUCAACGCCUACCAUACGAGCACUCACCGAUAGCGACGGGUGUUGACGCCGCUAUCAUUUCAAUGCAAUGCAGUUCUUCAAGGGUGCAGAAAGGCGUGCUCGUAAAGUUGACCCGUUACAACACGCCCCCCUCACAUGUGUGCCGUUUUGCUUGUCGACGUAUGGCUGAAUUUCGCGACGCAGGCAGUUUUAUUGUUUCUUAACCUGUUCAGUCAAAAGUAGCGAGUUGCGACCACCAGAUAAUUGUUUAGUUUAGUUGUUUUCGUGGAACAGCGCUGGCCGGCGGGCUUGGCGUCCGACGAAAGCACGAGCACUCUACGCCCAAAGCGUUCGUCGGCCUCCAAAGAAAGUAUGUUCUGUGCAGCGAUGCCAUUUCCACACCCGUACGGCUGAACUUUUCCUGCAUAGCUUUCCGCGCUGAAAGCUCGAAACGCCCAUCAAGUCGAAUGGCGGGGCAUUUGAAUAUACAGCUCUAUUGGCAGGCCUCCGAAAACAAAUUUUGCGCCUUUGAUAAAAAAUUACGUCACUUCUGUUUUUAACGGCUAUGACGUCAAAUUGUUUUUUCUUCCGCCGGAAGUGUUCCCUCCUCGGCGCUAAGCCCCAUGAACCCCCAAAUGGCGCUAAGCCCCAUGAACCGCCGAUGAGCCGCCAUGUUUUGAACGUAUGGGCUUCUAUGGAAGCUUCGCUACCAGGUAUAUUUGCCUUGUUUUUACUGUGAAGCUGUGCAACAUAACCUGCCAACGGGUCUGUCGUCUCUGUAGACAAACACGUGGGAAGCGCGCGCGCCCUGCGCCGCUGGGUUCAUCGCAGUACCGGCAGAUGGCGCUCGCCUCCGCGCACCCGCAACAGAGGCGGCGCCGGCCGUGCGGGGGAAGAAAGCAAAAGAACCAGAAAGCUUGCCUUCGCGCAUAGAGUUCACCGAAAGUGGUUCCCGGUUAAUAAUACUGUUACAUAAGCUGCAGUUGCUGGGAAGCGGCAACUGUGGCAUACUAAGCAGGGAGUUACAUAACUACACUUUUGUAUGGAAAAGAAUAACCCGCCUAGCAACAUUUUUUGCGUUGACUUCAAGAAGAUGCUGUGUCCAUAAGGUUGCCAACGCUCGAGUGGACGAAGUCUGGGCGGAGAAUGGGGGCCUAGGUAUAUGCCGCUUUAGCGGCCGCCGACCAAUGAAUCAUAGCACAUUCUUACGUGCGCCCAUGUGACACAGGCUAACCACAGGCUAACACAACUCUGCAACCACAACAUGCGAUUGAGGCUCCCUCACUUUAGCAAUUACACUAGCACAGUCAGAGCAAACAGACCAAUGCCAGACAUCUGGUGGCUGCGGAAUAACACACAUUAUGUCAAGCAAAUGCAAUGUUGGCCUAUGCUUCACAAAUUCAGUAAAGCUGUCUAUGCAAGUUCUAAAUGAAGCCAUAGAUGGUGAAACCCAGUUCCAGUUUUCUAUCUGAUGCCUGCCUCGUAUUACCGAAAACUUUCCUGCAAAAUAUGUCUAUUAUUUUCAAUAUGCUAUUUCUUGGCGUAUAUUGCACAUUUAGAAGCAAAAUAAACAAUUUUCUAUGC